rnacentral:rRNA from 1 species
GAGUUUGAUCCUGGCUCAGGACGAACGCUGGCGGCGUGCCUAAUACAUGCAAGUCGAACGAACUCUGGUAUUGAUUGGUGCUUGCAUCAUGAUUUACAUUUGAGUGAGUGGCGAACUGGUGAGUAACACGUGGGAAACCUGCCCAGAAGCGGGGGAUAACACCUGGAAACAGAUGCUAAUACCGCAUAACAACUUGGACCGCAUGGUCCGAGCUUGAAAGAUGGCUUCGGCUAUCACUUUUGGAUGGUCCCGCGGCGUAUUAGCUAGAUGGUGGGGUAAUGGCUCACCAUGGCAAUGAUACGUAGCCGACCUGAGAGGGUAAUCGGCCACAUUGGGACUGAGACACGGCCCAAACUCCUACGGGAGGCAGCAGUAGGGAAUCUUCCACAAUGGACGAAAGUCUGAUGGAGCAACGCCGCGUGAGUGAAGAAGGGUUUCGGCUCGUAAAACUCUGUUGUUAAAGAAGAACAUAUCUGAGAGUAACUGUUCAGGUAUUGACGGUAUUUAACCAGAAAGCCACGGCUAACUACGUGCCAGCAGCCGCGGUAAUACGUAGGUGGCAAGCGUUGUCCGGAUUUGUUGGGCGUAAAGCGAGCGCAGGCGGUUUUUUAAGUCUGAUGUGAAAGCCUUCGGCUCAACCGAAGAAGUGCAUCGGAAACUGGGAAACUUGAGUGCAGAAGAGGACAGUGGAACUCCAUGUGUAGCGGUGAAAUGCGUAGAUAUAUGGAAGAACACCAGUGGCGAAGGCGGCUGUCUGGUCUGUAACUGACGCUGAGGCUCGAAAGUAUGGGUAGCAAACAGGAUUAGAUACCCUGGUAGUCCAUACCGUAAACGAUGAAUGCUAAGUGUUGGAGGGUUUCCGCCCUUCAGUGCUGCAGCUAACGCAUUAAGCAUUCCGCCUGGGGAGUACGGCCGCAAGGCUGAAACUCAAAGGAAUUGACGGGGGCCCGCACAAGCGGUGGAGCAUGUGGUUUAAUUCGAAGCUACGCGAAGAACCUUACCAGGUCUUGACAUACUAUGCAAAUCUAAGAGAUUAGACGUUCCCUUCGGGGACAUGGAUACAGGUGGUGCAUGGUUGUCGUCAGCUCGUGUCGUGAGAUGUUGGGUUAAGUCCCGCAACGAGCGCAACCCUUAUUAUCAGUUGCCAGCAUUAAGUUGGGCACUCUGGUGAGACUGCCGGUGACAAACCGGAGGAAGGUGGGGAUGACGUCAAAUCAUCAUGCCCCUUAUGACCUGGGCUACACACGUGCUACAAUGGAUGGUACAACGAGUUGCGAACUCGCGAGAGUAAGCUAAUCUCUUAAAGCCAUUCUCAGUUCGGAUUGUAGGCUGCAACUCGCCUACAUGAAGUCGGAAUCGCUAGUAAUCGCGGAUCAGCAUGCCGCGGUGAAUACGUUCCCGGGCCUUGUACACACCGCCCGUCACACCAUGAGAGUUUGUAACACCCAAAGUCGGUGGGGUAACCUUUUAGGAACCAGCCGCCUAAGGUGGGACAGAUGAUUAGGGUGAAGUCGUAACAAGGUAGCCGUAG